AUCUACGGCCAUACCACCCUGAAUGUGCCCGAUCUCGUCUGAUCUCGGAAGCUAAGCAGGGUCGGGCCUGGUUAGUACUUGGAUGGGAGACAAAAUCUAUGCAAGCAGAAAAUG
rnacentral:rRNA from 1 species